rnacentral:SRP_RNA from 1 species
CUUUUAGACCUGUGCAUCGACACUGGUGGACAACGGGUCAGGAUGGGAACAUAGCAGCCCACCUACCUCUGUUGAGUGCCGCAGGGAUCUGGAAGGGG